GUCUCUGUGGUGCAAUUGGUCAGCGCGUUCGGCUGUUAACCGAAAGGUUCGUGAAUCUUGCCCAUCCAGGCACG
rnacentral:tRNA from 1 species